UGGGUUGGCGGGCUCCGUGCUACGGCAUCGAACCGUCCGCGCGCACUCCACGUCAGUGAUGCAUCAAGAGCUUCUUGUGCUUCAAACGGAUUCCUGUAUUUGCUACCUAUCGUAAAGGUACGGUGCCUCUAGUUGACCCUUUCCUCCCCCGACUCAUGCGGUUAGGGGAGGGCAUUGUAGCGGUGCCUGUGCCCCCCGCAUCGUGCGUGCUUUGUGGUGCGCACCUUACGACGGUUCUCAGGUUUCUGCUUGAUGUCUCGGAUAUGGAAUAUCUGGUGGGCAUUGGGUGUUCGCACCCUCGAUGUCCGAUUCCAAGCGUUUUGUCGCUAGACAUGUACGACUGUCAUGCUCCGUUGCGGGAUACCCUGCGCGGUCGCUGACGUUGGCAAAGGAAUGCUACCUGGUU
rnacentral:misc_RNA from 1 species